rnacentral:rRNA from 1 species
UACGGGGGGGAGCAAGCGUUGUUCGGAUUUACUGGGCGUAAAGGGCGCGUAGGCGGCCACCGCAAGUCGACUGUGAAAUCUCCGGGCUUAACUCGGAAAGGUCAGCCGAUACUGCGGGGCUAGAGUGCAGAAGGGGCAACUGGAAUUCUCGGUGUAGCGGUGAAAUGCGUAGAUAUCGAGAGGAACACCUGCGGCGAAGGCGGGUAGCUGGGCCGACACUGACGCUGAAGCGCGAAAGCUAGGGGAGCGAACGGG